GAGGGCCGCGGGUGGAGGGCGAGGCUGACAGGGAGUGAGGGAGGAAGGUGGAGGGCGGUGAUCAGAAGGCGCGGCUGACAGGGGGAGAGGGCGGUGAGAUCUACAGGAGAACUCAGGGCGGAUGUCUGAGGGGUCUGCGUUGGGCUUUCUGGUCGCUUCUCUGCGAAGCGCGCUUGUUCCUGAGGCGGUGCCUGCCUGUGUCGUCGUCCCUGUUUGUUCUUCUUCAAACCUCAGGAUUUCUCCGUGUUUCCCAGACCGUAACGUUUGGAAUAGUUCACCAGUGAAGUCAUCUCAACCAGCACAGGGCCUUGACUCCUAACAACAAUCACACGAACUUGGAAGAGGAUCCUUCCCCAGCUGAAACUUCACUUGAGACCUUCUCAUUGGCCAUCAUCGACAUCUGGAUUCAUGAUACAGAGAAACUUGAGUAAUGAUGACAAUAGCAGUCCAGCCUGCAUGGAUGCUGACAUGGAUGCUGUCUCCCAUUCUUACCACUGGAUGUCAAGAACUGCUAGAUGCGAUCCAGCCAGUCUGUACUCGACUCUCAGUUCCAUCUUCUCAACUCACAGUGUCUUCCAAAGUCCAUGCCACACCACAGCCUGGAAGAUCUCCCAAGUUGUCUUGAUGGUGUACUUUGCAUCUUAAAAGGCUUUGAAUAACUCACCAGUGAAGUCAUCUUGACCUGGACAGAAAUUGAAUCCUCCCAAGAAUCCCAGGAGCUUGGAAGGGGAUCCUUCCCCAGAUGAGCCUUCCCUUGAAAUCUCUGCCAGGCAUCUGACCCAGAGAAACUGCCACACCACUUUACAGAGGAACACCAGGGAUGUUCCAGGAACCAUGCCCACAAAGCUUACUAAGCCAUGGGACUGCAUACUACACUCCCAAGGACAUCCACAAAGUCAAGACUCUUGCGUUUUCAGACUGUGAUCAUGGGCUACAUUCUCCAUACCAUGUUCAUAUCUACAGUGAAAAAACAAACUCCUGCAUCCUGGAGACCUACAAUGAGAGACACAGCUGACCUUGACCAUAUUUCUUACUUCUCAGAAGACUGUAGCAGUAAUUCAGAAUGUUUCAGAACAAAGUCACUAACACAACAUGCAUUUAAGAAGUGGGGAGUCAUGGGCUAAGCACGAUGGCUCUCGCCUGUAAUCCCAGCACUGUUGGUGGCUGAGACAGGCUGAUCAUCUGAGGUCAGGAGUUCGAGACCAGUCUGGCCAACAUGGGGAAAGCUCAUCUCUAUUAAAAAUACAAAAA
ensembl:lncRNA PWRN1 Prader-Willi region non-protein coding RNA 1